GACGCUUCUUGUCGCUUCUUGUCGUCAAUUAGUGAGACCCCGAUUUACAGUUGGAAUGGAAAGCCUGAUGCAAGACUUAUGACUCUAAACGACUAUAUUUAAGUGAUAAUUUCAAUUACUAGGUGCUAUGUUUCUGUAAUGGGAAACUUUAUUAGUCAAUUAGAAAAACCAGGAAUUGCAAUAAUUAAUCCAGAAAAGACAAAAAAAGAAAACCAGACUAAAGAGGAAAUUAUAGCUGAACAUGCAAUUAAGAUAAAAAGCAAGGAAGAAAAAAGGGAACAAUUUCUUGACUUGAUGAAUGGGAAGGACUGUAUGAGUUGUAAAGUUAUAGCAACAGUUAACCCUUUGAUUCUUGCUGGUAUAACAGGCUACUACUACAGGAAACAGAAUAUAAAGUUUUUAAAGCCAUCAUGGAGGUUUUGUAUUCAUGCUACAUAUGGAUCCCUUAUUUUUGGCUUAGUGUGGAUGUCAUUCAUGGGCUUAACAGGAUCAUAUACUUUGAAGCGGUCAAAUGAAACAAUCACAGAAUAUUUACAAAGAGACAACCAGACAGUUAUAAACAAUGCAAGGGCAUUAUUUAAAUCUGACCCAACAGACAAAGUGAAGGAUUAAUUUUUUGUUUUGUUACAUAUGAUUUUACUUAAGAUAAAGUUUUUUGUUUGCCUU